AAAAACGUGACUGGUUUGUGCAGCAUGCUUAGAAAAUCUGAUUGGGCCAGCCAGGCCCAAAAUCUGCCUAGAAAAUCAAGUCAUGGUGCCCACUUUAAAUGAAUGUAUCUCUCAAACCAUGGAUUCAAAUGAGAUGAUUCCAAAAGGAUGUGAAAUAGGACAUGGAAAGGUACAAUUUUUGUGAAGAAAGUAUUUUCAAAUAAUGCCUUGAAGUGCAAGAA
rnacentral:lncRNA from 1 species